UACCUUUGAUGAGUAUGAAGUGCCCCUCC
rnacentral:piRNA from 1 species